rnacentral:lncRNA from 1 species
AGCCAUCUUUGCUACUUUCGUGUAAUCGCGUGUGUCGGUUAGACCACCUGUUUUACCGUCGUCAAGACUCCAACUUAUCGUCUCGUUGAGACAUUGGUUUGAUAUAGUAUAUUCGCAAUUUUAGAUUGCAUCCACUAUUUAUCUUGUUCUUGCUUGUUCUUCGAUUGCUUGCAGGAACAAAGACCUUCGUGGUCAGGUUGAUCGUGCCCCGCCGUGAUCAAUAACCCUCUGGAGUUGGUGUAUCGAUUGCUAAGACGCUGCCUCCUAGACCGUAGUCGGAUCGUCAACGUCACCUCCUACUCAAAUCGAGAGUUAUCAAUCUCAUCGAAAGAUCGGGCCACCCCGACCCACAUCACUCAUCAAGUACUACAGUGAAAUAGUAGAAACAUAACGAAUUUAAACAAAACAAAUUGCACGUGUAUUGGUAUUAAAAUUGCACAAUAUAUGUGAAACUUACGCGCCAGCAAUGUGCAACCUCAUGUUCAAGUUCCUUUAUGAUUGUAAAAAAUACAUCAACAUCGGUACAUGGUUGAAUUUCUUUUGGUUGUGUUGUAUACUGUCUUUUUUUGCAAAAAUAAAAUAGCAAGUAAGUUACACAAUCAAUACUAAUUAAAUUGCGCAAUUUUAGUGUGCAAGUGGACAAGUCAAAAGAAAAUGCAGGAUGUAGGAAAGCCCAGGCUUGUAGACCAAAUAGUGGACUUUUCAACACGUGGACCUUCAGAUUUUCAUAGCAACGUACUCCCUCCGAUACAUAAUAAAUGCCUCCGACUUAGUACACCUCAUACUUGGUAAUAAUUGUCUCAGACUUAGUACAAUUUUUCGUACUAAGUCUAAGUCUGAGACACUUAUUAUGUAUCGAGGGCGUACCUUUUCUGUUAGCACAAGCAUGCAACUUUUCCGUGUAUUUUUUAAAUACAUAGACAUGUUGAUACAAGCAAGAGCUUGUUCACUCAGAAAUAAGUAUUUCUUGAUCGAUCGUGCUAUAGUCGGACCUCUGUGAUAAUUCUGUUAAGAUAAAGGAUUUUAUCAUAUAUUUUUAUUGAAAAAAUAAUGCCACUUGGUUCUGUUUCGUGUAAAUGGCUGACCAGUAAUGAUGCAAGUUCUACUUAUAUACCCCCUCCGACAGUGUCUUUUAUUUAAUACAAAAUUAAAAAGUUAUACUUCCUCCAUCCAACAAAGAAUGUCUCAAGUUUGUCAAAAUUUGAAUGUAUCUAGACAUGACUUAGUGUAUAGAUGCAUUCAAAUUUAGUUAAAGUUGAAACAUCCUUUGUUGGACUGAGGGAAUACUAACUUUGUACGGAUACUAAAUACAUGACAUUUAUUACGGAGGGAGCAACGUAGGGGCAAGUAAAGCACAGCGCCUCCUCGAGAGCAGCUCGUCUUCCUCGUGCUGUAAUCUUUACUCGUCGGUUUUGCUUAAACUACAGUCCCAACUAAUCCCCGACAGCGAACUUAUCUCCCCACCUCCUCCUCCCUGCUAACUUUUCUUUUACUAAUCAACUCACGCGGUCCAUGCUUCAAAUUUGUUAGUACUAUACUUAAUUAACUAUCCGGCUAACAUGCGGGAAUCAGACGCGAUCCACGUUUGUAGCUUUAUGUUCUAUUUGCACUUUGGAUUUACGCUCGCUGUUGACCUACCAUCGGCCGCGCACUGAAAAUUGAUAAUUGGUAUUGGCUUCUAAUACUCAUUUUAUCUGAAAUUCUGCAUUUGCAUGUGCUGUGAGCUGUCUCCGGACGGCUACUAGCUUUGCUCUUCAGUUUUAGUUCUAGUUCCUUUCUCGCAUCAGCAGACAAACUCUACCGUGGUGGUUGAUGAAUUUCACAAAGGAUCUUCCGCUUUAUUUUAAUUUCUUUUAUUUAUUUUAUCUCUUGUUUACUCUCUUGCGAAAGUGUGGAUACCUAGGGCAUGCACAAUACUCCAGUAGAUAAUGUUGCCUUCUCUUAUGUGUUCCUAGUUAUUAAAAAACCCAGUAAACCAUGAUAUAAAAUAGGUUAUCUAUCAGCAUCGAUCAUAUCUUAAAACUAAUACCAAAAUAUAGAAGAAACUGCAUUGGAAGUCCUUAAACUUGGCAGGUGGGAACAAUUUGGUUCAUUUACUUGAAAUUGCACAUCAGAGGUCCAAAUCUCGUAUUUCCGCGUGAGCCCGAUGACGUGGCCGCUGAUGUGGAUUUUGAGAAAAUAAGUAGGUUUUUUUGGGAAGAUUUCUUUUGCAAAUUUCUCCAUACUAAUAAUGAAUUUAUUUCCCACGGUCCAUGGCCGGCUCGUCCUCAGCUUGUCGUUAGCCCUGUCUCAAUUCCCCAAACGUACGCAAGAAAUCCCUAACCCUAGGUCCUGGCGGUUCUUGCUCCCUCAAUUUGCCCGUCGAAGAAGCUUCGGUCGCAUCGCUCCUCUCUUCUGUGCUUCUUCGCGCUCGAUUCCUCUCCCCCGCACUCGAUUGCUCUCCGCCACCGCUGCUAGAUCCCGAUGCUUGGCCGGAGUGGGUACACCAAAGAGAGAGGAGAGUAGAUGAUGUCUUGGCUCCAUGGCGGGGAUUGUAGCCCGGGCAGCAACCAGGUUCUUGUCCCCCCUCCCUCCUUUUUUCCAUCUCCCAAUUUGCAAAAGAAAUCUUCCCAGAAAACCCCAUGAGCUUAUCUUCUUGUGAAGUGGUCAUCUUCUUCUUUUUUAGGGGAAUUGUCUUAUCUUCUUGUGAAGUGGUCAUCUUUCGGUUAAGACUUAAGAGAAGGCUUGUGUCUCGUGUCUUUCUUUUUGAGCUUGACCAUAUCCCUUAGAUGCUUUAGAGCAUCUUUGAGCCCAACCUGCCAUAACUAUUACUAGACCAUGGUAGCGCGUGUUGCCGCGCUGUCCCCUUGGUUAAGAAUAGUUGAGAAAGACAAGUUUGGAUGUAAUAAAAAAUGAAGUGAUCGAUAAAGCACUUGAAAUAAGAAUAUUAUUUUGUUGGAUCAAUACUUCCUCUAUCCCAUAUUAAGUGACUCAAAUUUGUUUAAAUAUUGACGUAUCUAUAUACUAAAAUACUUCUAGAUACAUGCAAUAUUACAACACUUAAUAUGGGACGGAGGGAGUAUAUAGGCGACUAUACAUGACUUUGAAAGUAGCAUAGGGACCAUGAAAAUACCUACGGAGUAUUUAUUUUUUUUGGCAUGGAAAUUAAGGUAAAGAAAGGAAGCAUUGCAUUCUUUUGGCAGACAUAUAGUGUUCCCAUGGUAGAUGAGCUCAAGUAUUGGAUGAGCAGGCUAUUUUGUGUUGUGAUGCGACAAAACAAUGUUAAAAAUAAGAACCAGCAGAAGCCAGUAAUGUGAUGCGACAAAACAAUGUUAAAAUAAGAACCAACUGAUAGUAUCAUUUCAGCAUAAGUAUAUUGACAUCAAAUUAAAACGGUUUCCUUCUCCUUCGUGUAUCAUGGGCCAUAUUUCACUGUCUAGUAACUUCAGAUUUCUAACUCUGAUCUACAAAAUACCGUAUCAUAAGCACAUCAUAUGCAAUAUGUGUGCAACUGAACCGCUGCAAUGGCAUUCCAGUGUCAAUUUGAUUCCUUACAUAUUUCUUUUCGGAGCUAUUUUAAUCUUCUCGGCACUUUGUUCAACUUCACUUGCAUAUGGAAUAGAUCGUGCAAUCAAUACUUAAAUUAGAAAUGGGUGACCACUGACCAGAUCCAAGUUAAGCAUCUGUACCUGUGGAUAUGAGACAUUCAGCAUAGCGAAUACCAACAAAUGCAGUUCCAAUUCGGUCAAAAACAAAUGCAGUUCCAAACUACAACAUUUUACAUAGAUAUUUUCUCUUCCAGAAGCAUGAAACUUGAAGCCAUCACAUCUGCAGAUGGUACGUACAUCUCCAAUAAUGUCCUACAAAAGGGUGUAGCAGUUUUCAACUGUCUCUCUUCUUGAGUUGGGACUUGACUCUUGAGACAGAGAGAGGGAGGCAGUGUGUUUUACCUCAACUGAUGCUCCCCCCUUCCUUCAUCAUCAAUUAUCCACCUUGACUGACUUACAUUUCGUGAAAGCUGACAAUAGGGAAUAGUAUCAUGAGGGAUUCAUAACCUGUUUGUAAUAUCAACUGAAGAGCAAACAUAGACGUAGUAUGCAUUGAGAAGCACUUACCAAGUGACAUAAAAUUGAUAUAUGGUGCAAUAGUACAUUAUUAUAUUUUUUAAAGAAAUAUACUUGAUUUUUUAACCACCUUUAAUAAGGUUGGACAAUGACUCACAGAAUUACAUAAUUCUUGACGGAAGUAAUUCUACGAGGAAGCAGUGAUUAACAAAAAAAAUCAUAAGUUUGCUAUUAGGAAAAUUAUUCCUUACUGAUCGACAACAGAGAGGUGCAUUCUCUGCAACUGACAAUUCUCGUAAGCAUACCUUCAACUAUCUUCCACCAAUAAGUAUGGACAACCUUAGGCAGGAUAUCACAAGAUGGCUUAACACCUGAAGGGGAAUCAGGUCGACCUGAAAAUCAGUAAAAAUACAUGGCCAAUAUCUUGGGUAAAUGGAUCUUAUAAGUCGAAAAUUGGCACCUUUUCAGGAGGGAGCUGAAAUAAACUACAAAACUCAAUAUGUGUUUAUCAUCGUUUGUUUCACUCAAGGGUUUUGUGAGUGAAUGAAUCUGUUUCACUCAACAUGUGCUUAUCAUCGUCCGCUGAAUUUCUUCUAAACUCAGUCUACUCUUGAUCUUGAAUACACUCAAGGGUUUGGUGAGUGAAUGAAUCUAUUUCACUCAAUAUAUGUUUAUCAUCAUCUGUUGAAUUUCUUCUAGAAUCAGUCCCUUCUCUUGAUUCUGCUAAAACAUUAUGUAAAUCAGAGUAUGAAUGAAAAAUAGAUGCAUACAAAAGGAUGAUUAAAUUGGUUUGUUAAAAAAAAUGGCCACUCUUCAAGAAGUUCACUCAGUUUUUGCGGCAAUGCCUUAUCUGCUUUUCUUUUACGAUUACGAUCAUUUGGCAAUAAACUUUUGAGCUUCUGUCUAUGCUUGGAGAGAACACCUCUGCCGCCUGCCUUGCCAUCGCCUGAAGAGGGAGUCACAACCGUCUGUACAGUUUCCGCCGUGGUAAUAUCGAAGCAAGACAUAAAGCUAAUUCCCUGCAAUCAACCAAACCAGCUGGAACCCUCCCCCAAUGACCCCUAUGGGAACACAGCAACAAAGCAGGUGAAUUAGCAUGUUCCAGAAGAAAAACAACUUCAAAGCUGGAUUGUAUUUAUCCAUACAUGACAAAACAAAACCUCUUGCAUCAGAGAGUAAUUUUCCUGCCUAAACAUGAUGUAUAACUUGUAUGAAAAUCGGAAAGAUAUAACCAUACAAAUGGCUACCGUACUAAGACAAAAUUAAGCUGACAUCCAUAGGAAAAACAAACCUACCUAGGCAACAAUCAUGGCUGCCGGCAGGGGAAGUGGAAAGGAUGGGAUUAGCAAAGAUGGAAAAGAAGUAUAAAUAGAUGGGAGACCAAAAAAUCGUAGGCAAUUGGAGGUCGAGGGGUACCAAUACCAUAGCAUUGAAAACCAUCUUGAAGGCGGCAGUUUCUGUACGGGAGCGCCUGCUCACCUCCUGCAGCGCCACGGUGCGCCUGUCCGUCUCCGCGACGGCAGCGCACGAGGGUUGGGGUUGGGCCGUUGGGGACUGGGGCACCGAGGCCGCCGGGCGGCAUCGCCCGCGCGCCCGCGCCCAAAGAUUUGGGCAAAACAGGAGGAGAAGCGAAGGAGGGACCGAGGAGCCAGGCGACGCGAGAAAUGGGUCGUUUACCGGCCUAGUUAACUAGCGGCCAUCGAUUUUCCUGGCGGAGCGGCGUCCAGCCCAACCGGAGAAGCCCAGCCGCGAGGCCCAAGUGCGUUUGGACGGCCGGAGAUGGAAAAAAAAACCCAAACGGCCUAGUUAACCAGCGGCCAUCGAUUUUCCUGGCGGAGCAGCGUCUAGCCCAACUGGAGAAGCCCAGCCGCGAGGCCCAGGUGCGUUUGGAUGGCCGGAGGUGGCAAAAAAAAAUCCGAUCGGACGGCUGAGAGGGGUGAUGGCCCGAGAACGCUCGGAGUCCAUCCCAUUUUGUUGUCUCUAAUUUUUGUAGCAAAAAAAAGGCAGAAAAGUAUUGGGUGCAAGACUUGGAUCACGCAAUAUUUACAAAAAUAUUUACAGCCUCCGUCUACCCGAUAUCUAAAGUCCGACGGAGCCUAACGUAAGGAAAAACGUUGAAAAAUAUAUUUUCAACAUUUUCCCUAACAACUCGAACAAUAAAAAUGGUAGUACGUUCAAGAGGCUUUUCGAAACCUUUAAAGGUAGUCAAGUUCGUGCAGAGAUACUAGUAACGAUGUUUCUGCUAUAGUCAAUUGCAGUCUCUAUGUUGAAAACUCAGCAAAAUUUCAUGUUGCAAAGUAUGAUAUCAUGGAGAAUAUUUUUUUAAGAGAUUUUAUUAUAGUUUUUAAUUAUAAGAGUUACCCUUGUAGUUUCUAUAGUCUAUAAUCCAAAGAAUUGUACAUGUAAUGGUUCUCGUGUUUGAAUAAAGCUAGAUGUUAUUUAAAAAAAUGGUAUCCGCAUCAAUUCAAUACUACCAUGCACCGUCCUUCUCGUUCAAUUGCCCUUGUCGGUUGCCAAUCAUCAUCGAGCUGGACUUCAGCAUCGUGUGACUUAUCCCUUCUCCUUCCUCCUUUUUCCCUCGUUCAUCCCUAUUUGAUUCUUGUGCCGAGUUGACGGGGCGUGCAAUUUGCUCUGUAAGGCCAAAUAUAGAAUGUUGGUUCCAUAUAUUUUCCGGUUUUUUUUUGAAAAAAAGGAAAGCCCCCAACCUUUGCAUCAACCGAUGCACAUAGACACCAUAUUAUUAAAAUUCAACACGAUAUCAUCAUCCAAAGUUACAACUCAAAAAGAUAACAAGAGACCGACAAAUCAGCCAUCCUCAAGUCUAGCCUCGGCGCGCCAUCCAAAAUGACAAAAAAAAAGAGUGCCUUUUAGUUGUCCAUUGCUCUUAUUGAAACUUCUUUUUGACCAACUCUUAUUGAAACUUUAAUUGCUUUGUCCAUUUCUUACGAGGCCAGCAAAGAAUCCUAUCAUGCAAAAACCAAACCGGGAAAGUGUUUACAUCGUGAUAAAAAGUGUGCACGCACAGCACACGUUAUUCCCCAACAACGGCUCUGUUAGCAAGCCAGAAAAGGACGCGCACAUCGUACAUUCGUGCAGUACGCCACAGCAUAAAUCGCCCAAGUGCUCGCUGUCCCGUCCCUGUCCUUCUGAUCGAUCUAUGUGCAUCCUCAAUCUCUGCCUCACUUGCUGCUCCUGCUUACUCCCUCCCUCGCACAACCGCCACCAAGACGACAUGGCUGCCUCCGCCUCCGACGACGGCGUCAUCACGCACCGGGACGUGAGCCUCAGCACCGGCGUGCGCCUGCACGUGGCGGAGGCCGGCCCCGCGGGCGCGCCGGCGGUGCUGCUGCUGCACGGGUUCCCGGAGCUGUGGUACACGUGGCGGCACCAGAUGCGGGCGCUGGCGGCGGCGGGGUACCGCGCCGUGGCGCCCGACAUGCGCGGCUACGGCGGCUCCGACGCGCCCCCCGGGGCCCCCGAGGAGCAGUACACGGCGCUCCACGUCGUGGGCGACCUCGUGGCGCUCAUCGACUCCCUCGGCGAGGAGAAGCAGCCGGUCUUCGUGGUGGCGCACGACUGGGGCGCGGUCACGGCGUGGAGCCUCUGCCUGUUCCGGCCGGACAGGGUCAGGGCCAUGGUCGCCCUCAGCGUCGCCUUCACGCCGCGGAGCCCCGCCAGGAAGCCCGUCGAUGGGCUCAGGGCGCUCUUCGGGGAUGAGUACUACGUCUGCCGCAUUCAGGUACGUGCUACCAUCUGAAAACCCCUUGAUGCAAGGAAAGCAGAUGUGACUAAUUUAGCUUGCUAUAUCCCCCUUCCGUGUUCUUUCAAGGUGACAUUUUGCUUUUUUUGUUCUCUUUUCUUUUUGGAAUUAUCUCCUAAUAGAAGUAAAAAAAAAGCCCCUAUAAAACAAUCUACUCCCGGCGCUUUGUCCCAUGUUAAAUAAGCACCGUCAACGAAGACUUAGGCCUCUUGGAAGUUAUUGUCGAGACUCGGUGGCAUGUAGGGUCACUGUGGGAUGUAGAUAUCACUUUACCGUCGCAUUCCCUCGGGUUCCAGAUGACCGACUAUUCUGCAAAUUGGUUCUUUUACUGUCGCAUAUACUAAUAUAGGACUGUUUAAUUCUCUUCUAGUUUCGUAAGGAACGAAUUAACCAGCGAGGCCACGACUGAAGCCAUUGCUUUUUAAUCCAUAUAAAUUGUUGCUGGAUUUGCAUUGCAUGUGAAAACAAUAUGAUGGAGCCGGUUCUAAUAUAUAUGCAGGAGCCUGGAGCAAUUGAAGCAGAAUUCGCCCGCCUAGGCACGGAUCUGGUCCUAAGAAAGUUCUUUACUUAUCGGACUCCCGGCCCGCUGUUCAUCCCAAAGAGCGGGUGGGGGUCACCAGAUGACGAGGUGCCCUUGCCGAGCUGGAUCACCGAGGAGGAUGUCAAGUACUAUGCAACCCAGUUUGACAAGACUGGUUUCACCGGAGGAUUGAACUACUACCGUGCCUUGAACAAGUAAGCACUUGCUAUGGACUUAAUACAACAGCUUCUGAGAUGAAUACUAAUUUUAGUAAAAAUAACUUCUGAGGUGUUGGCAGAUUUCGAAAAUAACAUACGAAGUACAGGAAUUUGACUCUUCUAUACGCAUGGUUGCUAAUUUCCAUGGAGAAAGGCAUUGAUAUAACACUACAAAGUUAUGUUAUAAUUCCCCAAAAGAAAAUUUAUGUUAUAAAGCAACAAUUUACUUUAUCUCUCCAAAAGAAAUGGUUGUACGGGAAAAGGACGGUAACUUGAGCGGAUUUGCGCAACUAAGUGUUAUCUUACCACCAUAUAUAUUUGGAUUGUGUAUAGGACAUGGGAGCUAACAUCACCCUGGACGGGGGCUGAGAUAAAGGUACCAGUGAAGUUCGUGAUUGGAGAUUUGGAUUUGACAUACCAUACCCCAGGCAUACAAGAUUUUAUUAACAAAGGUGGCCUCAAGAAGUAUGUCCCAUUACUGGAUGAUGUGGUGAUAAUGAAAGAUGUUGGGCACUUCAUAAAUGAAGAAAAACCAGAGGAAGUUAGUGCGCAUAUAAUCAGCUUCAUAAAGAAAUUCAACUGAAUGAGGUAUUUCAGCGAACAAACAUCGGAGAGGGUAAAACUGUAACAUUGUGUGAUUUGAUGUUGAGCCUAUUUCUUCACUGUGUUUCAUAAACUUCAUUAUAUGAAACUAUCUCAGUGUGUGGUUUCACUCUUUGUGUCAUGUGGAAUGUUCAAUGUAUCUUGUAGCAUGCAUAUUUCUACCAUAUGAAUACUGGAUCCAUGCUUUGUGUGGAUGUUUGCCCUUAUAUGCACAAAUUUUUGUUGCUAAAUUCCAUGGAUUUCAAGGGAAACGUGUACCCAAUUUUCGAUUAGUGUCUAUGACGCCAAACAACAAUUGGCACCGUUUGCCAGCCGCAAACUGCUGAGAACCGCUCGGUUUCUCUACCAAACGCGAGCGCGGUGCUCGUUUCCACUCCGCCACCGGCCAGGCUUGGGGUCCUCGCCCUCCCCAUCUCCAGCUUCGGCGACGGGUGAGGAUGGGGACCUCGGUGCUUCUACUCUGGUCUGUAGGUAGGGUAGAUUUAGGUUUUCAUGGAGGUGGGUGGCAUAUUGGUGGUAGAGACUACAUCGCAUCAGAAUAUUUUGCCCUUGCUCUUUCCACCACCUCGGAGGCGUUCCGAUCAGUGACGUCGGGAAGCAGGUGGCUUGUUAGUCUCCCCAGUCCCUAAUUCCGGUUAGUUCAGUUCACGGUAGUGGUUGUUUUGUGUCCACUCUUGUGGUCGCAGAUUCGACUCUUGCACAUAAUUUUUUCGUGUUUUGAAGAGUGGCUUGUGGUUCGUGGUUGGUAGCGUCCUUUUUCUUUGUCAACUAGGGUGAAUGAAGAUGGUGGCGCCGAGAUCUGGUGUCAUGGGAAAGAUUUCUGGCCGACGCACCAUUAUGGUCCGGUCUCCUGCUCCUCGUGUGUGCUAGUCCAAUUCAUCGGCUCGAAAAACAGUAAUUUCUGCAAUGGUGCUCCUCAAAUCUAGGAAUGUCGGCUGCGCUCCAGCCUUCUUCGACGACGCCAUGACGGCGGGAAAAUUAGUGGCGGGGACUGUUUGACUUGGUAAAAGGUCUCGAAAAAUUAACUUGUAAUUUUUUUUAUUGGAUAUUCCUUUGUACAAAUCUUCAAGACAUCGGUCUUUCUGGUUGUCUUGUGUGGUCCGUGCGUUGUAACCGUGUGGUUGCACCCCGGAACCUGCACGGCUGCACCGCAUCCAGGUGAGGCCGACCAGCCGAGUGAUCUGACCUGAACCUCCACCGAGCGCGUGUAUCGACGUGAACGAUUCGAAUCCAAUCCACCUGUACUGCCGCCAUGAAUUCGCUCGCUGUCCUUUGCCGCUCGUCACCACUGACACCUGCCUCCUCAUCUCCCUCUCCGUCCCCCAAUCGUCCUGUAUAUAUAAAAGUCCCCCGCUCGCGACCAGCAGCUCACCGCCACGACAUGGCCGCCGCCGCCAGGAUUUCCUCCCGAACCGUCGCCGUGGCAACAACCGCUGCACCACCGGUCAUGUGAGUAUCGCAACAAUCUCUCGAGUCUGGCGCUCGUGCUGUUCCGGAAUCUGGAUCUAGAAUAUGAAAUUGCUCGAUUUCAUAAUCUCUUGCAUCAUUCAAUCUGACGUGUGCAGCUCCCCGAAAGAAAAUCUACACGCUUCCCUUGCCUCCACCUCCGAGCCCCCUCCGCUCUUCGACGGCACGACCAGGUGAAUUUUAAGAAAUGAAAUCUGCAUUGCAGAUAUGUCUCGUGGUUCAUCACUUGUGCACAUAUCUAGGGAUAUAAACUGCUUUUUCUUUUGUUUCUCCUGGAGGUUGUAUGUUGCAUAUCACUGCCCAUACACACGGCGCGCUUGGAUUAACAGGAACUACAAGGUAGCACCUCUAGUGUGUUCUUUGAUUUGCAGUCCACGCUUUCACAGGACUUGUGCUGAUAGGUGACAAAAGUUUAAUCUUCUAUUUGUACCCCCUCCGAUCCACUAAAUCAAAGACACUUAUUAUGGAUCGGAGGGAGUAUGAUUUAUUGCCCAGGGUUUCAGGACAAGAUUAAGGUAGUCGUGAUCGGUCUGGCAGACAGGCCAUCUAGGUACAAGGAGAAUGUUUAUCCAGAAACCAAGGUAUGGUGCCUAAUCUCAGUUCUUUCUCACGUGCAUAAUAUCUUGCUCUGUUUGCAGUCCAUCAUUUCUCUGAUAUCCAUGCACACUUGCCUUUAUUUUUCUACGGGUGCCUUCACUGGAGCAUGACAACCAGGUGAAAGGCGAGAGCUUGGAUUUGAUCAAGUACAUUGAUAGAAAUUUCGAAGGCCCAUCUUUGCUUCCUGAAGUAUGCAUAUAUGUUCAACCAUCAUGAGCGUGAUGCUUGUACAAAGACACAUCAGUUUCUCAGUGUUAUUUACCUUUGCAUUCAUAAAUUGGCAUGAUUCUACACGAAGCAGUCCUCUUAGGAGCUACUUGUAUAUACAGAUGAGUUUAUCAAAGAAUUAUACUCAUAUACAUACUCCCAAGGGAAAUGUGUCAGAGGAAACUGGUAAAAAAGCAUAGGUAUACACCUGUAACCUGUUUACUCAUUUCAUAAGUUCUACAGGCUGCAAUUUGUAUUCAUAUUAUAAUUGGAAUCUCUCAUGCAUUAUACUUUCAUUAGUUGCUGCGCUGGAUAAAAUAGAAGCUGCCAUGGGAAAGUUUACCAAUGGUCUUUGUUCCUUGGCCAGUUCAGUUCAGUAUGCCACAUCAUUAUGUGUGAUUCCUUUAAUUCCUUUUAUAUAGAACUAUAAAUAAUUGUGGUUGACAUGUGGUCUUGCUGUGAUGUUAAUUUCUGCACAGGGUGGACACUGCAUAUCUGCCAUUUUUCGGAAGGUUUCAGAUAUUAUUAUUUUCUGGUAUCAAGAACUAUGAUUUCACCAAGCGCAGAAUGAACCUUCAGAAAUACAUUGAGGUAAUUAUGAAUGAUGUGAGAUGAGAUUGUGCCAUAUUUUAAUGUUAAGUUUGAGGAAUAUUAGGUUACUCCAAAAUUAAUUUGACUCGUAUUUUCCAAAAAACAAUAGGUAGUACUAUGUAAUUGUUCUGGACUGUUGGAAUAAUCUUGCCUAAAUUGGUUUUGUACACGGUACAUGUACUAGACUACUAGUUCUGUCCGAGUUCUAACCAGGAUAUGAUUGAUUAGCUCAAUGAAUUAGAGACUAGGGAUUAAGUAAAGGUGGUGUCCGUACGGUACCAGUAUAGUACCAGGUUUUUUUAGGUCUAUUAGAAUAGUGUUCUUGUGGGUGUUUAGACAUAGAGUCCGAGUAGGUGUUGGUUCUAGUGUGUGUAUAUACAAGUGUAGUGCUGUUUCUUUGUAUUAAAAGAUUGCAAGAAAAAAAUAAAGAAAAGAAGCAGACACGUUAUGUCGUUCAUACUUUUAAACUUUUUCUGAAUAUCUCAGUAUAAGUAAUAAUAUGGUGCAUAUGCUGAUUUGAUUGAUUCGAGCCGUUUCUUGGAAUGUGCUGAGCGUCAACGAAUUGGUUUACCGCAAUUUCUAGGAAUGGGCUGAAGACGAGAGAAUUCAAGGCGUUGCGAAAAUAGGUACCUCCUUUUCCUUACCAUCCAAGCAUUCAAAGUAUCAGCUUACCGUUAUAGCAUUAGUAGUAACAUUACCUCCGCUUGUCUCAUCGCCUCACCUUUGCGGCCCUAACCUCUGAUCCGCUGGUCCUCUCAUCUCGUUCUCUCUGAUCUGCCGACCUUUAGGACUGCCGCAAGAUUAGUUUCUUAUUUCCCCUUUCUUCUCGUUACGGCUGUUGCAAAGUUAGUAUAAUCUUAGGGAGUGAGCCUAGCUCACUUGGUUGGGGGAGUGGGUGUACAAUCCCAAUACCUGAGUUCAAAUCCUCACGGAUGCGAAUUUAGGAUCCUAUUAUACUGUAUGGGUCUCCCUUACAGUUAAUAUAAUCUUCUGUUGUCUCACGUUGCGCUCUUGCUUGGUGACCACCUUGGGCGUCUCUGUGGUGAGAUUUUUGUUCUUGUUUCCAAAUUUGCAUUUUCCAUAUCUUUUGAUCUGGAUUGACAUUAUAAGUAGCACUUUCAAUUAUAUGUUCCAAAUCCCUCCACUUACUCUUCAAUCUACUACUGCUCCAUCAACCUCAAAGUAUUCCUUUCUGAAAGGCGAAGGCAUUAAUCACGCUACAUGUAAAUUAUAUAAUCAUCUAUACUACUAUUUUUGUCACUCCAGUUCCUGCCGAUGUUCUUUUAGUUGAGUUGUACCCAGCAUGUCUAUAUGCCCCUAAUAAAACCCGUUUGAUUACAGGACUUCAACCUCUCAGCACUUGUCAAAUAUCCCUCUUCACUUGCUGGUUUGGUGUGAAUAUGCGAUGCCAACCUAGUGUUGUGUACGAACUAGUUAUCCUCCUGUCACCUGAAACAAAAGAGAGAAUUGAAGGACUUCAUGUUAAGAACUUUCUUGAUUUGAAGCUUAUUGGGAAACAAAGUAGAAAGAUUAUCGGAUAUCAAAUGAGUUUAGCUGAGAUUCAGAGAAAUCUUUAUCACAUUAUGUUUAAAAUCAAGUGCAAAAAAUUAUGCAUCACACGAGAAGUAUUGGAUAUAAUUAUUGGAAUGCCGCAUGGCUAUUUUCAAAAGUUACAAUCUUCGAGUAGAGAGGAAGCAAAGCAUUUGACUCGAUGUACAAAGUCCGCCGUGGAUAAAGAAACUCAGAAGAGGAGCUAUAGAGUAGCGCCGGUGCUUCAAACAAAGAUGAAGCUUAGGACAAAUAUGUUUUGCGGAAGAUCAAUGCCGGUGCUUUUGAUGAUAAGAACAAAGUGGCGUAAAAAAGAAAAAAUUUCGCCACGAACAAUAUUAAAGUUUUCCUGUUUAAAAUUUAAAGACGUUGACGUGGAUGUUAGUUUUUUCUUGUUUUAGCGUUGGAAAGAUUGUUGCUGCCAUUAACUGUCAUUUAUUCGUCCAUGGCGAUGGUACGAGUAUAGGAUCCUUAGAAGUUGCAGGAUUUUAAUUUAGGUCAACGUGUCUUUCAUGCUUUAAUGGCUGGUAUUUGUAAUUGAAAUUCAAAUUAAAACACGAAGCAGUCACUAUCCUGGAAUUAUUCUAACCGUAAGUACCUUCAUAGUUCUAUCAUAGUGGGUAGGAAAUUGUGUUUCUAAUCCUAGAAUUUUUCUAUUUCUGGUUAGAUAAACAGUGUGUCUAACUAUAGAAUUUUGCUAUUUCCUAACUAGAAUUAACAUAAUUCUACAAUUAGAGACAUUUCCUACUAAAUAUAAGAAGAGCUAUGGAUGUACUUGCGGUCAGAACAAUAAAACAUAGCCAACGAUUUGCUUCGUGUUUUUUCUUUAUUUUGAAUUACUAAUACCAGCUAUCAAAGCAUCAAAGACAAGUUUAUCUAGGACAACAAGAAACUUUUUAGGAUCUUCUACUGCUUCUACCAUCGCCUUAGACGAAUAAAUGAGGGUUGGUGGCAACAACAAUCUUUCCAAUGGCAAUAACAAGAAAAAUCUGACUUCCAUCUCAACGUGUUUAAAUUCUGAACGAAAAAACUUUAAUUUUUUUGGGGUGAACAAUUUUUUUUUAAAGCCACAUCGUCCUAAUCAUCACAAGCAUCAAUGCUGAUCUGUUGUUCCCUUAUCUUUGCCAUAAGCUUCAUCUUUGUACGAAGCAUCAGCACCGGUCUGCUGCUUCUCAUCUUUUCUUCUAAUUAUCGUUAUCAACAUCGGACUCCAAACCUUCAUACAUGAAGUCAAUGAUUUGCCGCUUUGCUCUUUACUCAACGAUGGGAGCUUCUGAAGAUAGCCACACAACAUGUCAAUAAUUUUAUCACUGUUUUUUGUGUGAUGCAUAGUUUGUAGCCAUUGAUUUUGAACAUAACUUGAGCAGAAUUUCUCUGAAUUUCAGCUAAACUUAUUAGGUAUCUGGUAAUCUCUCUACUUUGCUUUCCAUUUAGCUUCAGUUAAGAAGGUUUUUGAAAGGAAGUCCUUCGAUCCUCUUUUUUUGCUUCAGGUGACAGGAGGGGAACUACUUCGGCCACCACUAUGUUGGCACUGCAUAUUGACAUCGGUCAUGGCUGUAACCACCAAGCCAACAAGUAGGAGAGUUGACAAGUGGAGAGGUUAACUUCACGUAAUCCAACAACUUUUCUUAAGGGCAUAUAUAUGCUGGCUAGAAAUCAACUUCAAAACACUAGUAGGAACUGGAGAAACAAAAAUAGAAGUCGACUGAAGGAACAAAAGGUAGAAAUCCAGAGCAGGAAAAAAAAUUGAUGUCUAGAAGAACAUUUAUUGUCACAAAAUAAUAACUUUGAUAGAAGUCCAGAAACAAAUAGAACACCAGAGCCGAAACAUUUUCAAUUAUGUAGUGCAUUUGGGACCGCACAGUUUCAGACCAAGAAGUGUAGAAGUUUACAUUGACAUAGAAAGCAGUACAAGAUUCCUUGUAGUCCAGUUGAAGCUCAUGUCUUGGUGUGCAAAAAAUAGGAAAAAGAAGUACUAAUGAAAAACAAGCAGUGCACAACCGGUUGUAGUAGCAGAUCUACUCUAUUGCAUUUUAAAACAUAGGUCCAGUUAAUAUGAAAAGAAUUUCAGAGAGCACAAGUAGGCUUCACAAUAUUAAAUUUUCACAAACUAGGCUUCACGCCAUUAAUUCCAGAUGGCCCAUUGCCGCUAUGGGACAAUUAUGAAGGACAUGAGAGUAUCAUCUUGCUAACUGGGAUGCUAUGAAAAGGGAGUAUGAGCGAUUUAAAAUGGACUCAUAUAUAUAUAUAAACUUCAUGAUCAUACACUACUAGAACAAAUUAUAUAAUUUAAUUACAUAGAAAUAUCAUCUUGACAACUGGAAGAUGGUCAUAUAAUUUACAUGUGGGGAGAUUAGUGCCUUCCCCGUUUCGAAAUGAAUAUUUGAUAGGUUGAAGUAAUGGUAGAUUGAUGUGGCAGUGAAGGGAUUUGGAAUACAUAAUUAAAAGUUUUAGCUAUAGUGUGGUAUGGAAAAUGCAAACUUGGAAACAAGAACAUAAAGCUUACCACAGAGAGACGACCAAGGUGGUUAGCAAGCAAGAGCGCACAUGAGACAGAACGGAAGAAGAAAGGGGAACUGAAGACUAACUUUGCAGCAGCCCUAAAUAUAGGCGGAUCGGAGAGCACGAUUGCACCGAUGGAUCAUAGGCGGGGUGGUGAAAUGAGUGGAGGUAAUGCUACCGCUAAUGCCCUAACGGUAGGGGGAUAGUUUUGAAUGCUCGGGUGGGAAGGGAAGGGAGGUAAUUUCUCUCCCUAUGGCCGCAACCCUUUGAACUCUCUCCUAUUUGGCUCAUUCCAAGAUAAUCAUGGUCAACCAAUAUGGUCACCGUCUUUUUACUUAUGCUAAGAUAUUCAGAAAAACAUUUAAAAGUAUAAUCGACAUGAAAAAAGAUGUUCACUCGUACAUGAGAAAAAGUCUGUGUAUUAUAGAAAUGUUAUUUAUAUAAUUUAUAUGAUUGUUCCUGCGAAGAAAUAUUCAAAAAUAGUCACUACAACAGAAGAUAAUCUUUAUCUAUGUAGAAAAUAUGUUCAGUAAAGUCGCACCAGUGGCACCCGGGGUAUCACCAUUGCGCAACGCGUGGGUCGCCUCGCUUGCUCCUUGCAAGGACGGCACCUCGGGCAGCGCGGUGCGAGCUGCUCGGGAAGCCACCAGCCCGGCAGGACUAGCCGAGCUGCGGGGGUUGCCCCGGAUGGCAGCGUGAAGGUUCCCGUCAGGGCGCCCCCGGGAAGGUCACUUGCCGGGGAGGGUGUUCCCUGGCGCAGACGCUUACAACAGGGCCGGCGCCCAAUGCAAGCAGAGUAUUGGCACCACGUGGCCACCCGGCAGGCUCCUUUUGUGCAGAGCUGGUCAGGGGGUGGAGUAUGGCACAAGCAAGCAUUAAAUGCUCCGACAGAAGGGUGGUUCCCCGUCUAGUCAGCCCACAGUGAGUGGCUCGCAGUAAAUCUAAGGCACGUACCGCCCUAGCUACAGCACUUUGCACCAUGCAUGCAUGCCAGCGCAGCAAGGGCAAACUGCCUAGGGUCUUUGCUCGACACUUGUCCCCCAUGCACCGAGGCACCUGUGGUAUCCCCUUGAGUAUAACAAGAGGACCAGCGCCAUCGGUCGGGGGCUUGGGUUCGGUUCUUUCUAGGUUACACUCCAGUGGAGUUUGAGUGAGAGUCUUUAGCCCGGAAGUAGCAAGUAGCCACUUAGCAGAAAAGGGAAGAGAAUGCCCGGGGGCUCUCCUGGCAACCUGUAAACACCUGCUCAUUGGCUAAUACAAACUCAGAAACAGGACGUAGGAUUUUACACCUCCGGGUGGCCCGAACCUGGGUAAACAGGCCUGUGCAUCGUACUCUCGUCAUUGGCCUCGUUGAUGAUCGCCGGAGCGAUCUCCAACGCCCACUGCUGAACCAAAAAGGGGGUGCCUUGCAUCCCCGGUGUCUCAGCCCCGGCCUACAACAUCUGGCGCGCCAGGUAGGGGGCGUGUGAGGAGAGCUCGUCGGUGACCGCCGGCGCCGACGUCUGCAGCUACAUCAGCUUCGUCUCCUCCUCCGACAGAACCCGUCGCUAUGCCUCCCAAGCGGGCUGGCGACUCUCGGAUCGACCCACGUGGUGCCCCAGCGGCGCACACGCGAUCACAUGACGUGCAGCCCACGUCGCAGGGCCAGGAGAACCUUGAGCCCUCCCGGGUGCAGCAGCAGUCGCAGCUGCCACCUCCGCCUCCUCGGCCGUCGGCGGACAAUCGGCUGAGGGGGCCAGCGGCUCCCAGUGUCGGAGCCAGCCGCGCGAGCGGCCACGACGCCGCCCGCGCCGGCCAGCGUGUCCACUCGCGGGCCAAAGACGCGUAGCGGCAAUUGCGCCACGAGCACACCGCGUCGCGUGUGACGCCGACGGGAUCUCGCGCUACUCACCCGGGGGCACCGGGGGACAGUGUGGAGGGCAGCCGGUCAGAGAAUCGGCAGCCUCCCGCCCAAACCCCGGCGGAGGCUAUCAUAGCCGCGCAUGUCAUGGUGCGCUACGAGCCAUCGCAAGGCAUGCCGGUGCAUGAGGCGUGGAGUGCGGAGCUGGACGCGCUCCUUGCGCUCACUGCCCAGCAGCCGCAAGGCGAGGGCGCUUUUGCUGGUUCAGGUCGAGGGCAGAACCCGGGACGCGGAGAAGCGCCCCGUGUCUCGGGGCAAGGAGAAAACCCUCCCCCGCAGGGAGGGCAAGGAGGCGAGGAUCCCGUGGGAUCCUCGGAAUUGUCACCGGCCGUUAGGCGGGGUGACGCGCGGGGUGUUUUGAACGCCCGCCAGCAAUAAGACCUCCGCCAGCGCCUGGAGCCCCGGCGCCGGCGUGAGGCAGAACGCCAAUGCCCAGAGGAGCAGGAGGAUGCUCCCAUGGGCGCCGAGGACGGCUGCACCGCGUUCACCCGCGGACUGCGCCUGGUGACAUGGCCCCGCAAGUUCCGAGCACCGGCGCUUGGAACGUACGAUGGGACCGUGAACCCCAAGAAUUUCCUCCUGACUUACACGUUGGGGAUGCAUACCAUCGGCGCCGACGACAAAGUCAGGGCCAACUGGUUCCCGAUGGUCCUCAAAGGAUCAGCGAGGACCUGGUUGCUCAACCUGCCCGCCGGGUCCAUAGCCUCCUGGGCUGACCUGCGCGAGCAGUUUGUGAGCUCGUUUCAGCGCGGCUACAAGCGCCCCGGAACCAUGGCGGAGCUGCACACCGUGGUGCAGAAGCUAGGGGAGACGUUGCGGAGCUUCGUCAACUGUUUCUCCAGUCUCUCCUACUCCAUUCCAGAGACGGAGGCUGCCGCCAUCAUCAACAACUUCGCCAUCAACAUCCGCGACCCCAAGAUGCGUGAGAAGCUGAGCAUGCACCGGAUCCGGACGACGCAAGAGCUCUACGCCUUGGCGCACAAGUGUGCCAUGGCCGAGGAAGGGCGUUUGGCGCCCGAACUUGCAGCUAAGGCUGCCGCGAGUGCCGCUGAGGGCUCGCAGAAGAAGGGCUACCGGAAGCGCUGCGGGAAGCAAGUCCUUGCCGCGGAACCGGGGGCUACCUCGAGGCCUGCGAAAAAGGCCUCGUCCGUCGGCGGGUCUGGUUGCAAGCCGGGCGACGCGCCCCGCUGCCCCAUCCACGCCAACGCCACCCAUGACGCGUAGGAUUGCCGCAUCCUGCAGGGCAUCAAGUAGAGGCGCGAGCAGCGCCACGAGGAGCGCCUCUCCCACGACUGCCCGAAUGACCCCAGAGCUUGAGCGAAGCCGGUCGGCAGGGAUGCUGGCAGAGAGGAAGCUUAGGAGGGUCGAGCCCAAGCCCGCGCCGGCAGGGAGCGGCCUCCCUGGGGACGAGACAAGGCUCGUGCUGAGGAGCAGCGCGGGUCCGACUACAGUGAGGGCGACGAGCCUGGCUUCCAGGAGCCUCGUGGCGUCGCCUGCAUCCAUGGGGGAGCUUAUGCUCUCUCAUCCCAUAGCGCGGUGAAGCGCCUCACCCGGGACAUGAGGCACAGCAGCCGUUGAAGUGGUCGCACGUGCCGAUCACUUUCAACUCUGACGAUCACCCAGCCCGGCAGCUGGGGUUAGGGGUUCUUCUCUUCGUGGUCUCACCGAUCAUCAACAACAUGACAGUGACCAAGGUGCUGGUGGACAACGGAGCGGAGUUAAACCUCCUGUCUGCCAGGUUGGUGGAGAAACUUCAGCUGCCGUUGGAGCAGAUGAAGCCCACCGACCCGUUCCGGGGAGUAAACCCCGGGAUCGUAGGGGGCGCAUCACGCUGCCGGUUACCUUCGGGUCCCGGGAAGCGUUCAGGACUGAGCACCUCGUGUUCAAUGUGGCUCACACCCCGUUGCCGUACAACGGGAUCCUUGGUCCGCCAGCGCUGAUCAAGUUCAUGGCGGCAACCCAUUGCGCCUACGGCGUGAUGAAGAUGCCGUCCACGUACGAAGUCCUCUCCAUCAAGUACGAUCUUAAGGACGCGGCUUGGUGUGUUGGCGAGGUCAUCAAGGCCGUCGCCGCAGCCGAUUCUGGUGACGAAGGCGCCGGAAGCGAAGGCUCGCUGCCGGGUGACUACCCCGCAGCGAAGAAGGCUCGUGUUACCCCGCAGCAGCUUGCCGGGGGAAGCACAAGCUCGAGCUCAUGCCCCGGCAAGGGCCAAAAGCUCAAGGAGGAGGCCGCCAAGGUGAAGAAGCUGCCCCUCUAGGCUGGCAACGAGGAGCGCACUGUCACCAUCGGUGCAAACCUCGAUGCCAAAUAGGAAAGCGUCCUGAUCACUUUCCGCCGGGAGAAUGCCGAUGUGUUCGCUUGGGAACCAUCGGAUCUUCCUGGAGUCCCUAGGGAGGUGAUCGAGCAUCGACUUGCGGUGCGUCCAAACGCCCACCCCGUCAAGCAGAAGAUCUGCUGGCAAGCGCAAGGACUUCAUCAAGCAAGAAGUGGACAAGCUGAAGGCUGUGGGGGCUAUCAGGGAAGUACUGUACUCCACUUGGUUAGCGAAUCCAGUUGUAGUACCCAAGGGGGAAAAUAAAUUACGCAUGUGUGUAGACUUUAUUGAUCUUAAUUGUGCAUGUCCCAAAGACCUUUUCCCUGUACCCCGUAUUGAUCAAAUAAUAGAUUCCACUGUCGGUUGCGAUUUUUUGUGUAUUUUGGAUGCUUUUUCCGGCUACCAUUAAAUCAAGAUGGCAGUCGAGGACGAGGAGAAAACGACGUUCAUCACCCCGGUUGGCUGCUACUGCUACACGUGCAUGCGUUUCGGGUUGAAGAACGCGGGCUCAACAUUCCAGCGUGCAUUGCGCGAGUGUUUGGGACCCCAGUUAGGCCGAAACGUUGAGGCCUACAUGGAUGAUAUCGUCAUCAAGUCAAAGCGCGAGGACUCGCUUAUUGAUGACUUGCGGGAGACGUUUGAUAACCUCCGCAGGAUCAAGCUUAAGUUGAACCCUGAGAAAUGCAUUUUUGGUGUAGACUCGGGGCAGCUUCUAGGCUUCUUGGUUUCACACAGGGGGAUUCAGGCCAACCCAAAGAAGAUAGAAGCUAUCGAGAAGAUGGAGGCUCCCCGCAGGGUGAAGGACGUUCAGCGCCUCAACGGCUGUGUAGCCGCGCUGGAGCGCUUCAUUUCAAGGCUGGGCGAACGCGCCUUGCCUUUCUUCAGGGUAAUGAAGAAGAAGGGCCCGAUUGAUUGGACCCCUGAGGCUGAGGCGGCGUUCCAGGACCUGAAGCGGUACCUGAAGUCGCCGCCAAUCCUCGUCGCCCCCAAGUCGGGUGAGCCGUUGCUGCUCUACCUAGCGGCGACUGACCAAGUGGUCAGCUCGGUGCUUGUUGCUGAGAGAGAAGAAGAUCUCCGGGGGGCUGAGCCUGCGGGGCCGGGGGCUGAGUCAGCCUCGGCAACCGCCUCGGACCCGGGAAACGCCAUCGAGCCGGCGGCGUCGACGCCACGCAAGCGACUCGUGCAGCACCCUGUGUACUUCGUCAGCACGGUGCUGUGCGACGCCCGCGCACGGUACCCGCAAGUGCAGAAGCUCUUGCUGGGGAUUCUGCUUGCAUCAUGCAAGUUGCGCCAUUACUUUCAGGCGCACCGCAUAACGGUGGUGUCAGGAUUCUGCCUCAAGCGGGCCCUCACCAACCGUGAAGCCAUCGGGAGAGUGGCCGAGUGGAGGAUGGAGUUGUCGGAGUUUGAUCUACACUUCACGAACACCAAGAGUAUCAAGAGUGCCGCUCUGGCUGAUUUCGUUGCAGAAUGGACCUCGACAAGCAUAGAAGAAGAGGAGCUAGAGACCAGCCUGGCCGGCAAGCUGGACGAAGGCCACCGGAUCAUGUACUUCGACGGCGCGUUCAGCCUGCAGGGGGUUGGCGCCGGAGUCGUCAUCGAGUCACCUACGGGCGACCAGUUGAAAUUCGCCAUCCAAUUCGACUUCCCCAACUCCACCAACAACACGGCUGAGUACGAGGGGUUGCUCGCGGGGAUUCCCAACUCGUGAUCAACCAGGUUAACAAGGGCUACGACUGCCCGCAGAUGGCAGCGUACGUGGAUGAAGUCCGCAAGCUGGAACGCAAGUUCAAGGGUUUGCGAUUCGAGCACAUCAAGCGCAAGGAUAACUUCGCGGCUGAUGAACUGUCCAAGUGGGCAACGGAGCGCCGGAAAGUCCCGGCGGGAGUGUUCUGGCACAGGCAGAUUGCGUCUUCAGUCACUCCCAAGCCGGCUGCCCGGGAAGCUCGCCGGCAACCGAAGGAAACCCUGCAACAGCGGAGGUCCAUGCCGCUGAUGUGUCGGCAUGCAUGAGUAGGGAAACCCCGCCUUGGGGGGUGGACAUCGCCCGCUACCUCAAGAAGGGAGCCCUCCCUGAAGACGACGUUGCCGCGGAGCGCGUAGCCCGGCAAGCCAAGAUGUACGCUCUGGUAGACGGGGAUCUCUACCGGAGGCGUGCAAAUGGAGUAAAGCUCCUCUGCGUGCCCCAAGACGAAGGCCGCACGCUUCUGGAAGACAUACACCGAGGCACAUGCUCGCACCAUGUGGCCUCCCGGGCUUUAGCUGGCAAAGCUUUUCGGCACGGCUUUUACUGGCCUACAGCAUUAGCCGAUGCCGAGCAACUAGUCAAGACAUGCGAGGCGUGCCAGUUCCAUGCAAAGAAGAGUAAUUAGCCGGCACAAGCCCUGCAAAUCAUUCCAUCCUCCUGGCCGUUCGCGGUCUGGGGGCUGGACAUCGUCGGCAAGUUCUCGAGAGCGGUUGGCGGCUACGAGUAUUUACUCGUGGCCAUCGACAAGUUCUCUAAGUGAGUGGAAGUGGAACCAGUGCGGAAGGUGACCGCUCAGGUGGCCAUCAAGUUCUUCAAGGGCAUUGUGUGCCGGUUUGGUGUGCCUAACGGCAUCAUCACCGAUAAUGGCACACAAUUUACAAGCGUCGUGUUCCAAGCUUACUGCGAGAACAUGGGCACCAAGAUCCACUUCGCCUCUGUUGCUCACCCGAGGAGCAACGGACAGGCGGAGCGAGCCAACGCGGAGGUGCUGCGGGGACUCAAGACGAGAACCUUUGAUAAGCUCAAAGGCCACGGGAAGCACUGGGUUGAAGAACUCCAGCCCGUGCUGUGGUCGAUCAGGACCACACCUAGCUGGGCAACGGGUGAAACUUCUUUCGCCUUUGUCUACGGGGCAGAAGCGGUGCUGCCCCUCGAGCUCAAGCACGGAUCCCCUCGGAUACGCGCGUACGGCAAGCAUAGCCAACACGAGCAGAGGGUUGACGAUCUUAACUUCAUCGAAGAACUUCGAUUCCGGGCUGCUGUACGAGCUGUGCGCUAUCAGCAGGGACUCCGCCGUUAUCAUGACAGGCGGGUCCGUGUCCGGGAGCUCGAGGUCGGAGACCUUGUCCUGCGCUGGAUACAAGGAACGAAGGCCGGGAACAAGUUGGCUCCGAAAUGGGAGGGCCCCUUCCGGGUAGUGCAGGUGACCAGGCCGGGGGCUGUCCGGCUGGAAACCGAAGAAGGCUUGCCGGUGCAAAACAGUUGGAAUCUUGAGCACUUGCGCAAGUUCUACCCGUGAAGCGGCGAAGCCUGACCUAUGGGCGAUGCUGCUGCAGCAUGCCUCUCGAACUAGUGUAGCCGGGCAACCCUUGAUUGUAAUCCGCUAGUUUCUACGAAUAAAGAUAAGUGAUUUCCUCUGAAUUUCAAGUUGACUCGAUUAUUGCAUGUGCUUUCUUCUGUCAUUUGCUCUAGGUGCACAGAAGUCUCUUUUCCAUCCUUGGUUGUGAUCAGGGGCUGGCGGAGCCUCAAAAACAGAAAUCCCGUUGCCGGAUCACUCUGACACGGGGUCGUGGCGUUGCUAGGUCCCCCGCAACGCGCACCACGCGACAGCAGCGUCUUGGGAACGAAAAAGUGCUCACACCCAAGUUUGGUAUCAACCGUUCUGUGCCCGGGGGCUAGGAGGCAGGAGGCGUGCGAGUCCCCGGCAACACAAAGCGCAACACACGAGGACAGGAAGAUCCACCCCACGAGUCAAUUCCAGGAGCAAGUGUAGAACCACUGUCCGGGCUCCGGCAAUGCCGCCGGCCUCGUCGCCGGAGGACUCGUCGCCGGGCCAGCUAGAAUCCGAUUCCCCCUCGCUUUCCUCGGCCACUUGCUUCCCACGGGCUGUGGGUGGCGGAGGCUUCGAGGCUGGGACUAGGGGAUCGGACAUCAGCCCCCACUCGUUGCAGGGUGGGUAGCUGUUGAUGAUGUCGUGAAGGCCCGCGACGCCGUCGUGAAGGGAUGGAGCCCCUGGGGGCAGCUCCGUGAAUGGAACGUCCUCGCCGGUGAUUCCCUUCACCCAUUCCUGGAUCACCUCCGACGUCACACCCACGCUUUGCGGGCGCGUGGUGUCGCCGGGCCCUGUGUACAUCCACGCAGGGCGGGACCGCAGCUGCAGCGGCGCGAUGCGCCGGCUGAUGGAGGUGCGCGCCACAUCCAGAUCGGUGAGCCGCGCUAGCCGCAGGGCCUUGAUCUUCUGGAUGAUGGGAAGGAGUUCCGCGUCUCGGCUGUAGCGGUCCUGCCAGCUACCGUUACUCGCCGGCAGCUCGGUGGGCACAUUAAUGAACUCGUCGGGCUCAUCCACGCGAACCAAACACCAGCUCCCGCGCCACUCCUUCUCGAUCUUCUUCUCGCUCUGCACGAUGAACUCUGACUUCAUCUUGUCGCGGGCAUGGAACGAGACCCCCGACGACAUCGCUCCCGACUGCUCGACGCGCGGGUAGAAGUAAUGACGGAACAACGCCACCGAUGGCAUCACCCCGACAAACCCUCACAGAGAAAUUGGAAGACGGCGAGAAGGAAGAGGGAAGUGGGGUGGAGCUGCGCAACCUUCAGCUGGUAUGCCGCCAUGAGAGCCUGGACGAAGAGGGAGUACGGAGGUACGAACCCAGCAAGGAUGAAGCGGCCGAACACCCGGAAGUCGUUGUCCUGGUGGUCGCCGCCGGCGGGGAAGGUGAGCGUCUCGCCGUACUCGUUGAACGAGGAGGCAACACGUGCCGGAUCUUGUCGACCCCCUCGCCGUUGUAGCCGGGCUUGAAGAAGGCCCGCGUGGCCCUCAUCUCCCGGUUCUUCUGGUCCUUCUCCGACAAGGGCUUCUUGGGGGCUUUCUCGCCCUUCUCGACCGUAGAGCUUUUGGAACCCUUCCCUCUCUUGGGGGACGUAGGCGCCAUGAGGAAUGUGGGCGGCGAUUAGCAUGAUUCAGGAACGCAAGGAGGAAUCGGGAUGAGGAAGAAGGACUGGGGGCUAAGUGAUUGCCCCUCAGCGCAGCGGUGGGUUUUUAUAGCACCCCAGCGUUGAGCAACGGUCGCAUCCGCACGCUACGGGUGCGCUGGGGAUAACUACGCUUAAAGAAGGGGAGUGCGGGACAUGGCCUUAACCACCCACAGUUAAGGGGAGGUUAGGGCGGAAAUCUCGGCCCCACCACUCUGCCUGUAACGGCAGAGCCCUAGGAGCAGCACAUGAACGGGAACCCGAAACGACUCGGGACCCACGCGUCGGUUAAGGGCAUAGCCCGGCAACCGACCAAGGAUGACUUCGCCCGGGAACAGGCGUUGCCGGCCCACGCCCAGGGGCUACUGUCGCACCAGUGGAACCCGGGGUACCACCAUUGCGCAACGCGUGGGUCGCCUCGCUUGCUCCCCGCAAGGAUGGCACCCCGGGCAGCGCGGUGCGAGCUGCCCGAGAAGCCACCAGCCUGGCAGGACUUGCCGGCUGCGGGGGUUGCCCCGGAUGGCAGCGUGAAGGUUCCCGUCAGGUCACUUGCCGGGGAGGGUGUUCCCUGGCGCAGGCGCUUACAACAGGGCCGGCGCCCAAUGCAAGCAGAGUAUUGGCACCACGUGGCCGCCCGGCAGGCUCCUUUUGUGCAGGGCUGGUCAGGGCAUGGAGUAUGGCACAAGCAAGCAUUAAAUGCUCCGACAGAAGGGUGGUUCCCUGUCUAGUCAGCCCCAGUGAGUGGCUCGCAGUAAAUCUAAGGCACGUACCGCCCUAGCUACAGCACUUUGCACCAUGCAUGCAUGCCAGCGCAGCAAGGGCAAGCUGCCUAGGGUCUUUGCUCGACACUUGUCCCCCAUGCACCGAGGCACCUGUGGUAUCCCCUUGGGUAUAACAGGAGGACCAGCGCCAUCGGUCGGGGGGUUGGGUUCGGUUCUUUCUAGGUUACACUCCAGUGGAGUUUGAGUGAGAGUCUUCAGCCCAGAAGUAGCAAGUAGCCACUUAGCAGAAAAGGGAAGAGAACCGGGGGGGGGGGGGGCAACCUGUAAACACCUGCUCAUUGGUAAUACAAAAUCAGAAGCAGGACGCAGGGUUUUACACCUCCGGGCGGCCCGAACCUGGGUAAACAGGCUUGUGCAUUGUACGCUCGUCACUGGCCUCGCCGGCAAUCGCCGGAGUGAUCCCCAACGCCCAUUGCCGAACCAAAAAGGGGGUGCCUCGCAUCCCUGGUGUCUAAGCCCCGGGCUACGACAAGUAAGCUUACUAAAGAUGUUCACCAUGUUAGGAUUGUAAUGUUCAUCUAUUGGUGCAUUUUGUAUUUUCCAGAACAUUGUCACAUAUUUGAUCCCGCCGAGAUAUCUUUGCAAGGUAGAUAAUUUUUCUAUUCAAGAUUGCCGCAUCUUUAUUUGGGAGAUGGUGGAAUUUCCCCAUCUUUUCUUCUGUUCUUAAGUCUCUAAUUGAGAAAGUCCGGUUGUUGUAAUCCACCAAUUCAUUAACAUACCACUGAACCUAAGAACAGUUGUUAAAUGGGCAAGUGUCGAGCCUGGUUCGCAAACAAUAGUCUAAGCUGCACCCCUUGUUCAAAUUUUAAGCUUUAUAAUUUUGUAAAGUUAUCUGAAAUUAUGCUGACCCAUUUAGAGAAGCAACAAACAUGCCAAGCAACUGAUGGACAAUGUUAUAUUUCUUUUUCAUGUGGGAUGAGGCCAGAGGCGAAUCUAAGAACAGGUCUAGCAGUUCUCCUCCCAUUCCAAAAUACAAGCCGUGUAAUUUUUGUUGACUUUCAAACUUGUAAAGUUUGACCAAAUUUAUAGCAAAAAAUAUCAACACCUCCACCGUGACAUAUAUUUUGAUAUUAUAUUUUGUUUGAUGAAACUUGACAAAUUUUAUAAAGUUUGAUACUCCUUGUAUUGUAGAAACGGCCCAGCUGGGUCAGAUAGAAAACAUCCUUGUACUUGAGCCGUUAAAACUAGUAUGAGUAAGGCCUAUGCUAUGCGAGAGUUGAGAGCCUAGGAUUUGAUUCGAUUUUGCAUGCUGCACGCUGGACAACAGGACCUCCUUGCAUCGGUACACAAGGCUCUCACCUCUAUUUUUUGCUGUUACUCUUGCUGCUGUUACUGUUGUACCAUCUCUGAUUGCAUUGGAUGAGCAUAUGCAUUGUUUGUUGAAAUUAGCUUCUCUGGAUUAUGUUCUGCAACGCGUUUGUUGAGUAAACACAAGAACACCUGUACUUGCUUCCUUUGAAGGUAAUCUCCAAACAACAAGAAAGUUGUCUGCUUCUGCGUGUCUGAUUUGCAAUAUGUACACCGGGAAAUCCUUUGAGGGUCCUGGUAGUCAUUCAGCUUCAGGCAGACGUGAUCUCCCCUGCCGUCAGUCAAAGCCUAUUUUCACCCCUGAAACAAAGACAUCCUGAUUCUUCCAAUUCAAGGGCACGACCAGGUCAAUUUUAACCUAACAGGAAAAUGAAAUCUGCACUGCAGAUAUAUCUCGUGGUUUAUCACUUACGCACAUAUCUAGGGAUAAACUGUUUUCCCUUUUUCUUCUCCUGGACGUGCGUGCUUGGAUUACCAGGAACUACAAGGUAGCAUCUCUAGUGUGUUGCUUGAUUUGCAGUCCACGCUUUCACUGGACUUGUACUGAUAAAUGGUCAAAGUUGAAUCUUCUAUUUAUAUGAUUUAUUGCCCAGGGUUUGCAGGACAAGAUUAAGCUAGUCCUGAAUGAUCUGGCAGACAGGCCAACUAGGUACAAGGAGAAGGUUUAUCCAGAGAACAAGGUUUGGCUAAUCUUAGUUCUUCCUCACGGGCACAAUAUCUUGCUCUGUUUGCAGUUCAUCAUUUCUCUGAUAUCCAUGCACACUUACCUUUAUUUUUCUGCUAGUGCCUUCACUGGAGCAUGACAACCAGGUGAAAGGCGAGAGCUUGGAUUGGGUCAAGUACAUUGAUAGCAAUUUCGAAGGCCCAACUUUGCUUACUGAAGUAUGCACAUAUUUAAUAUGUUCAACCAUCAUGAGCGUGAUGCUUGUACAAAGGUACAGCAAUUUCUUGGUGUUAUUUACUUUUGCAUUCAUAAAUUGGCAGGAUUCUGCACAGCAGUCUGCUGAGGAGCUACUCGUGUAUACAGAUGAGUUUAACGAAGCAUUACACUCAUCCAUACUCUCCAAGGGAGAUGUGUCAGAGGAAACUGGUAAAAGAGCAUAGCUAUACACCUGUAACUUGUUUAACAAUUUGUUCUACAGGCCGCAAUUUUUAUUCAUAUUAUAAUUCCAAUCUCUCAUGCAUUAUACUUUCAUUAGUUGCUGGGCUGGAUAAAACAUAAGCUGCCCUGGGAAAGUUUACAGAUGGUCGUUUCUUCCUUGGCCAGUUCAGUUCGGUAUGCCACAUCUGGCUGUUAUUCCUUUAAUUUCCUUUGAUAAAGGACUAGAAAGAAUUGUGGUUGACAUGUUAUCUUGCUGUGAUGUUACUUUCUGCACAGGUACUGCAUAUCUGGCAUUUGUCGUAAGGUUUCAGAUUUUCUUUUCUGGUAUCAAGAACUGUGAUAUCACCAAGGGCAGAUUGAACGUUCAGAAAUACAUCUAGGUAAUUAUGAAUGAUGCGAAACGAGAUUGUGCCAUAUUUUAAUGUUAUGUUUGGAGGAAUUUAAGGAUACUCCCCAAAUUAUAUGACCCGUUGAUUUUCCAAGAAACAAUGGCUAGUACUAUGUAAUUUUUGUGAACACCGUGACAAUACUACUGUUGCCUUAUGGUAGGUAAGAUGUAACUAAUGACCUUAUAAAGUUAGUGUAGAUUUUACACUUUGCACAAAUAUGGAGUGAAUGAUUUUUUUCGAAAAGGAGGAAAGCCCCGGCCUCUGCAUCGAUCGAUGCACACAGCCAUAUAUUAUUAAAAUCAUCCAUCAUCCAAAAUCAUCCAAAGAACAAGUAGCUGGUUACCAAAGGAAAAUUACAUAGAGUGAAAGGAAAACAUCAAAAUCCUUCCAGCCUAAGACCUGUGUGCCAUCCAAACCGGCUGAAUAACUCCCGUGCGACCGUCUCCAAACGGUGCACCCAGAAUCAAUACAUUUCUGAGCCUCUGUCUGAAGCAGUAGAGACCACAUAUGGAGCCAAUGGUAUGCCUGAAGAACGACCUGUAAGAAGUUAGCCACUCUCUUGUUAUGAAAAACCAAAUCAUUUCUGCAAUUCCAUAUAGAUCAACAUAUCGCACACAUCCCUACAAGGAUGAGCGAGGCAAAUUUUUUCUCAACACCCUUAAGCCACCGCCCAAACAUAUUAGUAACACAAGAUGGCAGUGGUAAAUUAAAUGUCACAAAGACGGUUCGCCACACCAAACGCGCCAUCGGACACUGGAAAAAAAGAUGUUGAAUGGUCUCAUCUUGAUCACCGAAAACACACUUCUUGCUACCACUCCAAUUCCUUUUGGCCAAAUUAUCCUUAGUAAGCACCAGCCCCGACAUAAGUACCAAGCAAAAAAAUUUAUUUUAAGAGGAACUUUAAGUUUCCAAAUAACGUUUGACGAAAUUGGCAAUCAUUAUCAAUAAGCGAGUUGUACAGCGAUUUCACCAAAUAUGACCCAGAAGAAUUCAGUCUCCAGGUAAAGGAAUCCGCUUGAUGCACAAGAUUUACAGACUCGAGAUUAUGACACAACUCCAACCAAUCCACCAGACGAUCCCCAACAAUUGCUCUACGAAAUGCAAUAUUAGGAGGAUCCGCCCCCAACACUUCAGCAACCGAAGCCUUAUGGUUAAAAGCAAUCCUAUAAAGAGAUGGAAACUGACGUCUAAGAGGAGAGUCACCAAACCAUGUAUCUUCUCAAAAACAAACAUCGGCUCCACAAUUAACAAAAAAGAAAUAUGAGGAAAAAAAAACUGACAAAUCCGCAGCAAUCCCUUCCAAAAAGGUUAAUCAUAAGCCCUCAUUCGAACUUGGGACAAAGAGCUUGCGUAGAGAUAUUUAUUCCGCAAUAACUCCACCCACAACCCCUCACCCGAAAGAAUCUUAUAUAGCCACUUACUCAACAAACAAAUAUUUUUAAUCUCGAAAUUCUCAAUCCCCAAACCUCCUUGAUCACAAGGCCGGCAUAGGAUAUCCCACUUAGCCAAUCUGUAUUUUCUUUUUUGUUCAUCGCAUUACCAAAAGAAUCUCGAACUAUAGAAAUCCAAUCUUUUAAAGACCCCUUUUGGAAUUUCAAAGAAGGACAUCAUGAACAUAGGAAAACUAGUUAAGACCGAAUUAAUAAGCGUAAGAUGGCCACCACUAGACAAAAGCCUUCUUUUCCAACAACUUAGCUUCUUCUCAAAACGAUCCUCGACACCUUUCCAUUCUUUAUUCAUCAACUUACGGUAAUGGAUCGGAAUUCCUAGAUAACGAAAAGGAAACGAACCCACCCCGCACCCAAAUAAUUGAGUAUACUGGUCUUCACACUCCUUCGCUUGGCCAAAACAAAAUAAUUCGCUUUUAUGAAAAUUAAUCUUAAGCCCCGACAGCUGCUCAAAAACGCAUAAGAGCAACUUUAAAAAUUUAGCUUGUUGGAGAUCAUGCUCAAGAAAGAUCACAGUAUCAUCAGCGUACUGGAGUAUCGACACACCUCCAUCUACAAUAUGCGGGAAAACCCCAUUUAAACGACCAAUACCCUUAGCCCUCUCUACCAGCACUGCCAACAUAUCUGCCACAAUGUUAAAAAGCACUGGAGACAACAGAUCCCCCUGCUGCCUUUCACAGUCUGAAAAUAAUGCCCAAUCUUGUCAUUCACUCUGACACCAACACUCCCUUCCUUCACAAAAUCUUCAAUCCAAGCACACCACUUCUCAUCAAAACCUUUCAUCCUAAGAGCCUGUUGAAGAAAGGACCAUCUAACCUUAUCGUAAGCCUUUUCAAAAUAAAUUUUUAAAAUCAGCCCAUCUAAUUUUCUGGUAUGCAACUCAUGAACCGUUUCAUGUAACACGACUACACCCUCCAAAAUGUGCCGCUCAGACAUGAAGGCAGACCGCGUAGGUUUAAUAACCGAACUGGCCACAACAUUAAUUCGGUUAGUACAAACUUUCGUGAAAAUUUUAUAGCAAACAUUCAACAGACAUAUAGGCCUAUAUUGUUGAAUCUGAGAAGCAUCCUCUUUCUUUGGCAACAAAGUGAUUAUCCCAAAAUUUAAACGAAAAAUUGGGAGAGAUCCAGUAUGAAAGUCAGCAAAAAGAGCCAUCAAAUCAUCCUUAAUCACCGCCCAAAACAUUUGAUAAAACUCAGCCGGGAGACCAUCAGGACCCGGAGCCUUAUUGGGAUUCAUCUGAAAGAUCGCCUCACGCACUUCCUCCUCCGAAAAUGGUGCGGUAAGAAUGGUAUUCUCCUUCGGACUAACACGCUCAAGGUCAACCAACAUUGAUUCAUCCAUAGAAACUGUACUAGCCUCUGAUGGACCAAACAAUUGCUUGUAAUAAUUGGUGAUAUACAGUCUCAGCUGUUCAUCACCAACAAUCGUACCUUCCGACUGCUCAAGCUGAAAAAUUUGCUUCUUACGAUGCUUCCCAUUAGCAACCAAAUGAGAGUAACGCGUAUUAUUAUCACCAUUACGGACACUAUUAACUUUCGCCCUCUGUGACCAUUUAGACUCAUCAUCACGAUACAAAGCCGCUAACUGAUCAUCAGCAAGGCGCUUAGCCGCCCAAUCAUCACAGGACAAGGGACCAAGCUCAGCCCGCACAUCUAAUUCCUCUACCAAUCGCAAAAGGCGAUCCCUCUCAAGCUUAAAAACACUGCUAAGAUUUUUAGCCCAACCCCUUAAAAAUUGUCUAAUAUGUCUAAUAUGAUUUUGCCAACAUUCAAUAGCGGACAGACCCCGAGAAACCUUCCUCCACUCAGCUGCAAUAGUCUCGAAAAAGCCUUCUUUCGGCAACCAAGAUAAUUCGAAACUAAAACAAGCCUGAUUACCAAGAUGAGCAGCAUCCCCAGAAUCUAACAACAAGGGACAAUGAUCAGAAAGAGACCGCUACAAAGCAUGCACCGAGACAAGCGGAAAUUUAGCCUCCCAUUCCGUACUCAUUAAAACCCGAUCCAAUUUUUCGUAAGUCGGGAUGGGAAGAUUAUUAGCCCAAGUAAACUGCCUACCCGAAAGUUCAAUCUUACGGAGGUCCAAACUCUCAAUGAUCGCAUUGAAAAGAAAGAGCCAACGUUCCUGAAAGGCAUCGGAACUCUUCUCUUCCUGUCUACGGAUAAUAUUAAAAUCACCGUCCACCAAAGGAAGAGUCUCAGACGAGCAGAACUGUACCAACUUAGUCAAAAAAACAGAUUUAAACUGAGGUUGAGCAGCCCCAUAAACCGCCACCAACACCCAUCUAAAACCGUCAGACUUCAAUUUGAGGCUAAACUUAACACAGAAGUCGCCCGCAUCGACAGACAGCACCUCCAGUAAAUUCGCAUUUAACCCCAACAACAUACUUCCUGAACGACCCUUCGGUGGGAGACAGUGCCAAAUUAAAUCUAAUCCACCCACGAUAUGAUUAAGAAAGCCAGUUGAGAAGUAUGAUCGUCCCAUUUCCAUGAGGACAAUAAAAUCAAGAUUAUGCUCUCAAACAACACCCGCCAAAAAACCGUGCUUAGCCAAGUCACGAAGACCUCUGCUAUUCCAGAACAUUCCUUUCAUGAGGUAACAACUUGUUUUUUUAAUUUUUAAAGCACGACCACGUGGACGCCCCACCUUGGUCUGCUUUUUUCCAACAACAACCCCUCGAGAGCGAGAAGGAAGAGACUCACACAGGACCUCUUCCUCCUCCUCAUCAGACAAGUCACGACAUAAUUGUUAUGCCGAAUCUAACAAAAGACAAUUAGAAGUAUCUGGAAACCUCUCAAUUUUCUUGGCACACAGAACAUGUAAAUUAGCCGCUAACCGGUCAAUUUCAUUAUUUUUAAUCAAAUGAAUAGUCCUAGAAAUUUCUUUAGCACCCGUACCUAAAGAAACCCCUAAACUAGACAUGUCUGAAGCAAUAUCAUCAUCAGAAAUAGAAAGAAUAGAAUUUUCAAGCUCCACAUUCAUACCUGUUUCAGCUUCAAGAUUCCGGAUUUUAGCAAGUCGCAUUGCCUUGUUGAUCAUCGCCUCAUCGGAAUCAGCUUGGGCCGCUAGAUGCGCGCUGAAACGCGAAGGCGGCGGGUACUUGCGACGGCUCCCUCGCGCUCCAACAGCGGGAGCCGCACCCCCCUGAGGUGCAGCCAACACCUUGUCAUCGCCCCCCCCCCCCCCCCCCCCCAUCACAAUGGCCUGCAACCGAGGACAGUAAUGGAGGAAACUCCACCGGCGAGUCCAGCUUCAAGCUCGACUCCGACGGUGAGGGAGGCGACACAGACUGCGGCAGCACGGACGACGGAGACGGCGACCGACGAACCGGCGACUCGGCUCGCGGACUCACGACCUCUCCCUCGGCCACCCGCACCUGCACAUCAACAACACCAAAAUCGGAGGCAGAAAGUAGAGGCGCCGCCUGCACCUCCGCCGCCGCCAACGGGCACGCAGCAGCGGGCGGUGGCGCCUCGUGCACGACCUGCUCCGCCAGCGGACAGAGAGCCACAGCGGGUGAUGCCUCCUGCACCACCCCGACAACCGGCAAAGAAACAGCGUCCGGUGGUGCCUCCUGCACCACCAACGCUGCCGGCGAGGUUGCCGCUGCCGGCAGUGCCUCCUGCAGUACCGCGGCAGCCGGCAAAGAAGCCAGCACGACAGCCGGCACAGCCGCAGCCGGCGGUGCCUCCUGCACCACCACGACUGCUGACGCCGAAGCAGCCACCGGUGGUGCCUCCUGCACCACCUUAGCUGCCGGUGAGCAGCAGGACAGAACGGCCGAAGGUGGUGCCUCCUGCACUACCUCAGUCAUCCCAAGCCCCGAGGACGGAGGUGCCACCUGCACCUCCAACUCCGAAGAAGAUGGCACCAGCACCUCCGACACAAUGGGCUCCGGGAACAUCUUGAACGGAGAAAGAAAGCCCACACCAGUAGCACAACCCGUCCGAAAAAUCAAACCACGCAUAACCGGUGGAGCAGACGACGAACCUCCCAAAUUCCCAACCGGCAACUCCUGAGAUGGGUUGGAACGCUUACCAGAUCUCCUCUCCUCAUCCCGCUUUUUAUUAUCAAGAUCUUUCAUAUCAUCUAACACCUCAUCAUCCAUAUCAUCAUUAUUAUCCGGAUCACGCCUAUCCCUGUUACCAUCAUCACCAUCAUCAUCAUCAUUCAUAGCCUCAUCCUCUGAAGGUUCCACCAGAAAGGAGAGUCUAUAGCCACGACCCUCAUGACGAAGAUCCGUACCCGGCGGAAUAGCAGAAAUAUUAGUAACACUGACACGAACCCGUGCCACACCAUGGCGACGAGAGAAAGGCAUAUCCACAUCAAUUGUAGUACCCAACAAAGUACCUAGCCCCCAAAUGGCCCUGUAAUUAAAAAGAUCACGUGGAACAUUACCAACAUGAACCCACGUAUCCUGAAACUCAAAAGAGGCAGUCGAAGAUGAAGUCCAUUCAUCCACCCUGAACCUCAACUCUGAAUUUGGAACCUGGAUCACACCAACCCUGACAAGCCUCUGCAACUCACCACGUGUAGGAAACAAAACCACAAAAUCAGAGAUCCCCUGAGCCGUGACCUCCCACUGAAAGUUAGAUACCGGAAUGAGCCUUUGCAUCUCCGCCACAACCCGUUCCUGUGACAUCGAACCACCCUCAACCUGAAUCAGCCCCUUUCUAUUACUAUCAGCCUUAGGAACCACCACCGCCUCCUCAGGAAGUUCAAAGUAAAACAAAUCAUCCGCCAGAGUACCACAGGACCACACGGCAAGUUUAGUCAAACGAGGAAGCUCGCACUCAGCUGAGACAUGAUCCACCUUCUCACAAAAAUCACAAAGGACAGCAGUGCACAUCGACGAGUAGUGUCCCUUCUGCUCACACCGAAAACACCGAACCUUAGCCAAAGGAUUAGCAACUGCAACAUCGUUACUCCCAGCACUCACCCCCUAUCCUGCCGCGGCAGAAAGCCGUCCUGCCGCCACAGCACCCACGGCAGAACCCUGAGAAACACCAGCCCCCACAACAGCCUGUCCAGACGCGGCAACAGCAGUACGUCUCCCUGCCACAGCAACCAUCAAGCCAGCCGGAGCCCCCUGUGCUGCCGCGGCAACCUUCAGCCCUGCGCGCAGCCGUCUGCCCUGCCGCGGCAGCCGUCUGCCCUGCCGCGGCAGCCGUCUGCCCUGCCGCGGCAGCCGUCUGCCCUGCCGCGGCAGUCGCCUGCCCUGCCGCGGUAACCGCCUGCCCUGCCACUGCAGAAACCUGCCCAGCCACGCCGGCCACAACAACACCAGCCGCCCCCUUUCCUGCCGCGGCAGAAACCUGCCCUGCCGCGGUAGCGAUCCCUGCCGCAGUCCCUCCUUGCCCAGAAGCAAUCACCGAGGAACCCAUCUCCGCCCCCAUCAUCUCACCACCACCUUGCUGCCCUCCGGCACCCUGCUGAAAACCACGACCCCAACGUCGACCACCCCCACGUCCUUGGUAGGAAAAUCGGCCACGAGACUGCCCAAAGCGAAAAUUCCGACCUCCACGAUAGCCAUUACCAUACCCAUAUCCACCGCCACCAUACCCACCGCCAAAAUCAUUACCAUAGCCUCCACCAUAACCAGAACGAAAACCACCGAAAUUAUUCCCAUAGCCACCACCAUUGCCUCCACGGAAGCCCCCACCAUUGCCCCCAUGAUAACCUCCACCAAAACCUCCCUGUGCAGCAGCAUUGCCUCCAUCGAACCCUCCCUGAGCACGGCCUCCAUCGCACCUCCUGCCGCCAGCAUCCCCUGACCUGCCGCGGCAGCGGACUGCCCUGCCGCAGCAGCAAAUCCUGCCGCACCUCCUGCCGCGCCUCCUGCCGCAGCAGCGAAUCCGGCCGCACCACCUGCCGCACCUCCUGCCGCCAGCAUCCCCUGCCCUGCCGCGGCAGCCGCCUGUCCUGCCGCGGGGAACAACUGCCCUGCCGCGGCACUUGCCGGCAGGCCCCCGCCGCCACUGAUCUCCUGGCCGCCACCAACACCACCAGACGCCGGAUCCAUCGAUCGAUCGAUAGGAAAGUGCAGCCCUAGCCGCCUAGACGCCUAUGGAGUGAAUGAUGAUGCCAUUGAAGCAAAUUGGUCAAUUAUGAAGAGAUGUGACAAUUUUGAAGAGAAAAUUAUAUGGAUUUCUCAUUUUAGUGACUUAAGAGCAAAACAGAAGAUGAGAAAAUUCCACCAUCUCCCACAAAGAGAUGUGCCAAUCUUGAAGAGAAAAUUAUCUGCCUUGCAAAGAUAUCUCGAUGGGAUCAAAUAUAUGACGAGGUUUUGGAAAAUACAAAAUGCACCUAUUUUUUGCUUUUGUCCUGUUAAUAAUAGAUGAAUAUUACUUUCCCAACAUGAUGAACAUGUUUAUGACAAUUUUUUAAUAGGUGAAUAUUAUCUUUUGUUUUAUUGACUAUUUUUUAAUAGAUGAAAAUUAUCCUUUGUUGUAUUGACUAUUUUUUAAUGUUGCCUCGCAUAAACAAUUAUAUAAAAUAUAUAUGAAUAAAUUUUCUAUAAUACAUGAAUAUUUUUCAUGAAUGAGUGAACAUCUUUUUUCAUGUAGUUUAUACUCUUAAAUGUUUUUGUGAAUAUCUCAGUAUAAGUAAUAAGAUGCUGCAUAUAUGCUGAUUUGAUUGUUUUGAUACAGCGAGUGUAUUGGUUGACCCUGAUUUCUUGGAAUGGGCCGAAGAGGGGAGAAUUCAAAGCAUUCUGGCCAUAGGGAGAGAAAUUACCUCUCUAUGCUUCCCCCUGAGCAUUCAGAAGUAUCCCCCUACCGCCUGUGCUUUAGUAGUAACAUUACCUCCGCUCGUCUCGCCGCCUCACCUUCGUUGCCCCUCCCCCAAUCCGUUGGUGCUCUCGUGCUCCUUGAUCCCCCGGUGCUCUCGUGCUCCCUGGUCUGCCAAUCGUUAGGGCUGCUGCAAAGUUAGACUCUUCCUCCGUUCUGUCUCGUGUGCUCUUGCUUGCUGACCACCUUGGCCGUCUCUUUGUGGUGAGAUGCUCAUCGCAUCUUAUGAUCCGGCUUAUUGUUAUAACUGACACUUUUAAUUAUGUAUUUCAAAUCCCUCCACUGUUCCAUCAAUCUAUCAGUUAUCCCUUUCAAAAGGGGAAGGCAUUAAUCUCCCUACACAUUUUAUAUAAUCAUCAUCCAAUUAGCAAGAUGAUAAUUUCUAUGUAUUUAAAUUAUAUAAUCUUUUUUCAUAUCGUAUGCUUAUCCAGUUUAUAUCUAUGGGUUCAACUGGCUAAUAACGAAAUGUUCUAAUCUCUUAAUGUUUGGGAUACUCAAUUGUCCAUACUCUCUUUUCAUGCAACCAUCUCGCGGUUAUCAACCAUCCCUUGUCAUGUCUCCCUCUCAUACAUGCUGGCUAGGUGGUUACACUCAUGACCGGUGUGAAUAUGCGGUGUCAACCUAGUGUUGUGGCUAAAGUAGUUCCCUCCUCUCACCUGAAGCAAAGAAGAGGAUUGAAGAACUCCCUUAAGAACCUUGAUUUGAAUCUUACCGGGAAGCAAAGUAGAGAAGUUAUUGGAUCUCUAAUGGGUUUAUCUGAAAUUUAGAGAAAUCUUGAUCAAACUAUGCUCAAAAUCAAAGCUGAGAAACUAUGCAUCACACGAUAAGUAGUGCAUAAAAUUAUUGGCAUGUUGCAUGGUUAUUUUCAGAAGCUCAUAUCGCCGAGUAAAGAGGAAAGGCACAAAGCGUUUGGCUCAGGUAUGAAGUUUUGAAGUCCGCUAUUGAUAAAGAAUCUCAGAAGAAAGAUGUGGAUCAGUAGACCGGCGUUAAUGCUUCUAACAAAGAUGAAGCGCAGGACAAUGCUGAUGGACAACAAACCAGAGUUGAUGCUUCUCGUGACGAGGACGAUGUGGCGUAAAAAAGCAAAAUUGUCCACCCCAAACAAUACUAAAGUUUUUUUCAUUCAGAAUUUAUAGACGUUGAGAUGAAUUUGAUUUUUUUGUUGUUGGCAUUGGAAAGAUUGUUGCUAUCAUCAACCCACAUUUGUUCAUUCAUGACGAUGAUGGAAGCAGCACGGAAUCGUAAAACUAUGGGGGAUGUUGACUUAGGUCAAUUUGUCUUUGAUGCUCUGAUGAUUGGUAUUAGUAACUGGAAGUCAAAGAAAACACAAAUCAUAUCGCUGGCCCUGGAAGUGUUUUUAUAGUAAGUACCUUCAUAGCUCUUCUUAUAUUGGGUAGGAAACCGUGUGCCCAACUUUAGAAUUAUGCUAUUUCUGGUCAGAAAACUAUGCGUUUAAUUGUACAAUUCUGUUUCAUAGAAUUUGUAUGUGGUCCACCUCAUGCCUGGUGACACACUGGAAGUCCCAAAGGAUCCCUACGCCACUUUUAAAAUUUACAAGUACGAAACAGAAGUGUUAAAAAACCCAAUAAAUGCUGCCAAUCAGAAAGGGGGAAGGGAUACUUACCUCGGGCUUGCCAUGCUCAGGUACCAUUGCCACCCUGCUAUACCAUGUUUGCUUUGAGCUCUUACAAAGGAGAACAUCAAACACUUUGCUUCAGGAGCGUUCCGCAGCAUUUAGCAGUUUAUUUAAUUAUUGUUUCAUGCUGGUUAAUUCUAGAAGUGGUGAAGGCAUCAUUUGGGAUUAACAUUGUGUCAGCAGGUAUGGAGUGGCCUACAUAGAAAGAAUCUAUGAUGCAGAAUUCUACGGUUAGACGCAUUUUUCUAACCAGAAAUUGCAUGAUUCUAUAGCCAGACACAUGUUUUCCUACGCAAUAUAAAUAGAGUUAUGAAUGUACUUACCGUUAGAACAAUUCCACAACCAAUGAUCUAUUUCGUGUUUUUCCUUGACUUCCCGUUAGUAAGUCAUCAAAGCAUCCAAGACAAGUUGACCUACAUCCUAGAACUUUUUAGGAUUUUGUAUUGCUACUAUCAAUGCCAUGAACGAAUAAAUGAGGGUUGAUCACAUGAACAAUUUUCCAACACCAAUAACAAGAAGAAUAUGACUUUCAUCUCAACGUCUUUAAAUUUUCAACGAAAGAAACUUUGAGAUUGUUAUAGGUGAUUUUUUUUUCUUUUUAACGCCACAUCGACCUCUUCAUCAGACACCCCCCCCCUCCCCCACACACUUUUGUUCUGAGCUUCAUCUUUUUUCAAGCAUUAGCGCUCGUCUGCUAUUCCUCAUCUUUCCUCUGAGCUUCUUUAACAACAACAGACUUCAAAACUUCGUAUGUGGAGUCGAAUGCUUUGUCGCUUUCCUUUUUACUCAGCGAUGGGAACUUCUUAAGAUGAGUAAAUUUCACAAAAUCACUACUAUAGGGGCUAGAGUUUCACGGAGCUGCCACCUCAGGAGUUUGCAUCAGUUUGCCACUACUUUAGGGACAAUAACUAUCAGUUUGUCUAAAUCUUGCGGAUUAGUGCAUUUGACAGCAGAACUGACAACUUGGGACUACUUGUAAGAUCCAACGUGGCAUCCAAUUUAUCCAUUUAGCCCCCUAUUAUUUUCAUUAAUUUCCUUUUCCCCUUUCUUCCCCUUCUCCGGCCACCUCGCCGGUGCUGACGAGGCCCAUGGCGCAGAGCGCCGCUUCGGACGCAGGUGACUUUGCGCGUGGUCUCGAGGAGGCUUGACUGCACUCUCCCUGCCCCCUGCCCGCGCUCGCCUGCUCGCGCCGCCGCGCCGCCUCCCUGCGCCCGUGCCCGCGCCCGCCUCCCCGUGCGGCCAUGCCCGCCUCCCCGCCUGCCGCGCCGCCUCCCCGUGCUCUUGCCCCGUGGCCGCGCGGCCUUCUUGCGCCCGCGCCUGGAGAAGAAGCCGCCGGCCGACGCCGCCUGCCCGUGUGGCCUCCUGUGGCUCCCGUGUCUGGGUGCUGCUGCUCCCUUAAGGAAGACGGGUCAAGAAGAAAAAGGAAAAAGUCAGUGUUUUUUUCUAAAUGGCAAAGACCUUACACGCGGGCCCAACUUGUCAGUUUUGCUGUCAAAUGCACUAAUCCGCGAGAUUUGGGCAAACUGAUAGUUAUUGCCCCUAGAUUAGUGACAAACUGAUGCGAACCCCUGAGGUGGUAGCUCUGUGAAACCCUAACCCAUGGAGUAGUGGCCUACAUAGAAAAGAUAGCCACGCGGCAUGCCAAUAAUUUUAUUCACUACAUCUCAUGUGUGACGCAUAUUUUCCUAGCCUUGAUUCUGAUCGUAAUUUUAUCAGGAUUUCUCUGAAUUUCAGCUAAACCCAUUAGAUAUACGAUAAUCCUGUAAUUAUCUUCCCAGUAAGCUUUAAAUCAAGAAGGUUCUUGAAAAAGUCAUUUGAUCCUCUUUUGCUUCACGUGACGGGAGGGGAACAACUUCAACCACAACGCUAGGUUAACACCGUAUAUUUAUGCCAGUCAUGGAUAUAACCACCUAGACAGCAAGUAGGAGAAGGAGAGUUGACAAGUGCAGAGAGGUUAAUUUCCUGUUAUCAUCAAACUGUUUUUAUUAAGGGCAUUUAUAUGAUAGCUAUAAAUCAAUUGCAAAAACACUAGCAGGAACUGGAGAAACAAAAAGAAAAGUCGACUACAGGAACAAAAGGUAGAAAUCCAGGUCAGAAACAAAUAGAAGUCCACAAGCGCAUGUGCUGGCGGCGUUUGGCUCGAGGGGUGAUCAUGCCGAACAUGCUCUAUGGCUUGAUUCAUUCCCGAGUGAUGCAAUCCGUGUUGUGCUGGUGAUGCCUGCUGAGUUAAUGGAAAUGCCUGCCUUUCCUCGGAAAACAAAGUACUACCACGCUCGGCACGUCACCCAAUUGAUUGGCCAUCGAUCCGAUCGUGUUUUUCUGUUCGAGCACAACAUGCAACUCCUACAUGGGUACACCACCAUAAUCCUCAUCCAUACACAUGUUGUAUAUUAAUAAUAGAACAUGGAGGCGCACUUAGCUGCGCCUGUCCAUCUUGACAAAAGAACAAUAGAAAGUAUCUUAAAAACUCCGAAUGGUACACUGCGCCUGUCCAUCUCGACCAAAGAACAAUCAAAAGUAUCUUAGAACAUCCUAAUGGUACAAAUAUCAUAGAAAAAUGGGAUGGUUUAGAUUACACUUCCUCUAUACAGGUGUUCAAGGUUUUAGGCAAAGGAUUCCAUAAAAUUUGAAGCACAAGAUUGUGCACACAUAUUCAAGGAUGAACGCCUUCAUGGCGGCAAUGAAGCUUUGAGUUGGUGCGUCCGCCCCAUUUAGGUUUCCUAACACUUUUCCAGGUGUUACAUUUUGAUCCGCUUCAAUUUUAACUCUUUUAAUGCUUAAUGCUCACACCGGCGGCGACGAUGUAGUAAUGAAUUAAUGUGUAGAAUAUUACUAUUCGUCGUCCUCAUAGCGAUGCAAUAAUGGAUCAAUGAGAGGAAGCCAUACGUUUGUCCUCAUAUACUCUGCCUGCAAUGGGCUUUCUUCCUCCCGUUAGUUUGGCCUUGGCACCCCGCUUCUUUGCCUAGGGUUGGUUCUGGAUUCGGUUGUGCUGGUUCAGAUUUCUCUGUUGUCGCUGCACAUCUGUUUUUUCUCUACGGAGCAAUACGCCGGGUGUGUGUGGUCUUGCCGCUUGUUGGUUGGGGUUUUUAUCUGGGGUCCUUUUAUCUGUUGGUACUGCCGUUUUUGACAAUGGUUUCGUGGCUAUGCUUGUUUACCCUUCCGUUUUGCAAUCCUCAUUUCAUUAACUCUUUUCAUGCAGGUUGUCAUUAUUACCUUGUGCGUAAGCUCUGAGCUAAUUAUUCAGUUUUUGGUAUCGCUGGAAAAUUCUGCAUACGGUGGAGCACCCAAGUUGGUUUUUUCGUUAGGAUUUUAGUGCUUCUUCAAUCUAAAAGAAGAUUAUACUGAUUGAUACUCCUCCGAUCCAUAUUAAGUGGCCCUGAUUUAGUACAACUUUAGCACAAAGUUGUACUCCUUCUGUCCCAUAUUAAGUAACUUAAAUUUAUCAAAUAUGAUGUAUCUAUACCCAAAUAGCGUCUAGAUACAUGUAAUAUUUCGUCACUUAAUAUGAGACGUAGGGAGUACUAAAUCAGCGACACUUAUUAUGAAUUGGAGGAGUCUUUUUGUGUCUGGUGUACCUCGUUAUGUUUUAUGCACUCUGUUGUGCUUAUAUGCAAUACCAAGUUAUCUUCUCACCUACUGUAGCAUUGAUGGGGACUCUACUACAUUCUGAUGAUGCAUCCAUGGCUGGACUGGUAUUAUGAAUAUAUGUAUCAGUGUGUACUAUCGUAUACAUGGGUGCUACUUCUACUAAUUUGGUAUGAUGCAUAGAGAAUUAACAACUGAUCUUUGUGGGCAGUCUCUCACCCUGUAGUUGUGUGGGGACUGCAGAUGGAAAUUAUUCAUUAUGAAGUGUCUGAAGAAUUUUCUGUAACAUGGAACUUGCCACAUACACCGCAAGAACUGCAUGACCACUGUCAUUAAUUUCGCAGUGGGGAAGCUCACGUGUUUUUUUUUCUAUAGGAACACCACACAUAACAUGAUGUGUAUUCUUCAAGUAUCAAAUAUGUAGGUUGCAAAAUGGUUAUGCAUCCAACAGGUUUUUCACAUAGUAAAUUAGUGAUGAUUCUUACAGACCAAAAGUUCAUUGCUAUUCUCUGUUGUGUUUUUAGAACUUAUUUCUAGUGUUGCUGCCCCUUAAGGAGUCUUGGGUUUUGAUUAGAUAAAGUUUAGCCAUCUUUGCUACUUUCGUGUAAUCGCGUGUGUCGGUUAGACCACCUGUUUUACCGUCGUCAAGACUCCAACCUAUUGUCUCGUUGAGACAUUGGUUUGAUAUAGUAUACUCACAAUUUUAGAUUGCAUCCGCUAUUUAUCUUGUUCUUGCUUGUUCUUUGAUUGUUUGCAGGAACAAAGACCUUCGUGGUCAGGUUGAUCGUGCCCCCGCGUGAUCAAUAACC